rnacentral:rRNA from 1 species
UGGGGAAUAUUGGACAAUGGGCGCAAGCCUGCUCCAGCCAUGCCGCGUGAGUGAUGAAGGCCCUAGGGUUGUAAAGCUCUUUCACCGGUGAAGAUAAUGACGGUAACCGGAGAAGAAGCCCCGGCUAACUUCGUGCCAGCAGCCGCGGUAAUACGAAGGGGGCUAGCGUUGUUCGGAUUUACUGGGCGUAAAGCGCACGUAGGCGGACUUUUAAGUCAGGGGUGAAAUCCCGGGGCUCAACCCCGGAACUGCCUUUGAUACUGGAAGUCUUGAGUAUGGUAGAGGUGAGUGGAAUUCCGAGUGUAGAGGUGAAAUUCGUAGAUAAUCGGAGGAACACCAGUGGCGAAGGCGGCUCACUGGACCAAUACUGACGCUGAGGUGCGAAAGCGUGGGGAGCAAACAGG